GUCCUGUAGUUUAAAAUAUUAUAUAAUGUUAAUAGAUUAAAAUAAUUCAAACAUGCAACUGAUUUAUUGUCCCGUAGUUUAAAGUACUAUACAAUGUUAAUAGAUUAAAAUAGUUCAAACACUAAUUGUUCUACCAGUACAACCGUUCAUCAAGUCUCCAGAAUGUUUUUGUAUUUCAAAUGCUUCGACGUAUUUCCUCUCCCCGUCGUUCACGAUAUUAGCAUGUAAAAUCUUCCACUUUAUUGUAGGUAACUUUGAUUUCUUGUGGGAUUCCAAAUGUUUAUAAACCGUCUGCUUUUCCAUUGUCAAGUGUUCUUUGAUCCGUGAUCCAAUUGUUCGCCCGGUCUCCCCAAUGUAAACAAUUCCACAUAUUGAACAUUCGAUUUUGUAAACUACAUUCUUCUUAAAGCAAAGGUUCGGUUUAGAAGACAACUUACACGUUUCACAUUCGCCCUGGCAGUUCUGUUUAGUCUUUGGUGGAGCAAAAACUUUAGAAAGGGGUUGACCGUUGGUAAAAUGUAACCUU